CCUUUUGCUUGGCACUUCCCCUUGCUGCUGCCACCAUGUGAAGGAGGACGUGUUUGCUUCCCCUUCUGCCUUGAAAAUUUCUUGAUGCCUCCCCAACCAUGCUGAACUGCAACAAAAAUGAAGUCUUCUGACCCACUACCAUAUCUGGGUAAAAUCUUUGGCUCAACGGAUGGCUUAAAUAUGACCUUUUUCAGUUUCAAGCAGGUUCCAUUGAGAGGCAUCUAGCAACUCUGGAUACAUCAACAACCUUGAUUCACCUUCAAGGAACAUUACCUAGAAAACACUAUAAAGUGUGGCUGUGAUGCAUGGAGACCAGCAACCCCAAGUCAUACCCUUCACUGUGGAAGAAUUGGGGUAAAUAUCAACAAUUGGUACAUAUCACUAUCAACAAUUGCAAAUAAAAAGGCCAUGUUGUAAAGAUGGAAUCACAAGAUGGCACCUGCUUGGAUUCCUAAG
rnacentral:lncRNA from 1 species